rnacentral:lncRNA from 1 species
ACCUUGGAAAUCGUGCCUGAGAGGAAACGCUAGGGCGAACUCUCUUCGAUAGCAUAUAGUUAAAGACGCAAAACUCUCUUGCGCCGCACUCGAUCUUCCUUUACAUCUAAGAAACUAUCUCCAAUAACAUAUAAAAGGAAAAAUAUUUAUACUCAUAGUAAAGGGGACUGAGGAUAACCGGGGAAAAGAGGACUCCUGACUCAGUCACAUAGAAUAUAAAUUAAGAUGCGGAAAGGGUUUAGAUCCGCUAAUCAAAAAGUAAAGAUCUGCUAAUCGGAAAGUAGAGAGAUCCGCUAAUCGGAAACAAACAGCCGAUCUAGAGAUCGAAGGUAGUUUACAACAAAAAACAAAAGGGAUUAAUGACCGGCGGCAAGAAAACCACCGGCCACUUGAACAAAAACUCUGUUUUGUAAAACUUUUUAGAGAAAAAUCAGAAGAAAAUCAAGAGAGAGGUCCGG